GCAACGCGUUCCCUCACCGCAGAACUAUCGAAUGUCGAAUGACGCCGUCGUCGCUGCGCCGUCACCGCAACGCGGGAGUAUAACUCGGGUUUUACACUACGCUUUAAGAUGGGACGUUUUAGUCCACUAAAUUCUUACUUCGGUACUUACCCGAUGAGAAUGCUUUGAAGGAACCCCUUUGGUCAAAAGGGAACACGAAAGAACGCCAGUACCCGGUAGGUGAACAGGUAUUGUGUCAUGUGAACCGGAAGUAGAAACAUUCAGGCGCUGAAACUUCAACGUAAUAUGUGAAGUAUUUGGAACCAAAACUGGAUUCCAAAAAUAUUUAAUGAAUAUGAUAAACAGAAGUGGCUCAAGUAGCCAAAAAUUGUACUCAAGAGUAGCGUUUCUUCAAAAUAAUAUUACUCAAGUCAUGUUCAAGUAGUCAUCCCAAAAAUUUACUCAGGUAAAAAAUAUUCUAUGAAAAAACUACUCAAAUACUGAGUAAUUCUUUAUUUAUUUUUAAAAUGAAAACAUUUUUUUUUUCGCAGCAUAAGGUCAUCUAUUUGAACUUUUAUUUAUCAUACUAUAACCUAUUGGAUGACCAUACUAGGCCAACCCACCGCAAGAGCAUGAGUGUCCUCUAGUGCAAGGGUGUUAACAAAGGCAUAGGCUUGGUCUCAAUAUUGGUAGGGACAACAUAAUAGCAUAAACUGCAUGUAAACUUUUUGCUGGGGAUGGGACAUUAAUAAGAUCAAACAGAUUGGGUGAACGGAGGUCAGGGCUACAUUUCUCACUAAUAUGAAUCUAAUUGAUAGGCUAAAUGAUCAAUGCGAAAUAAAUCUGUAAAUUUAUAACAUCUUUGUCUGAUAAUAGUCUGAAUUAUUUUCUCCAUCUUGUUUUGAGUGUUAAAGACUAACAGAUUAAUACGUCAGAUUUAUCCACCUAAAUUAAGUAAAUAUUACAAUUUGUUCUUAUUAAGCCCAUGCAUCAAAAAUUUGGGUCAUUUUUCACCUAGAUUCAGGGAAAAAAUGCUUUCAAAUAAUGUUUCGAACAAUAUCUAUUCACCAACAAGCUUUUUUUGUUUGUUUUUUUGUUUAGAGAUUAAAUAUACUUUUGUCCUAAAGAAAUCUGAGUUACUAACUACAUUUACUUCAAGCACUGGCAGAUUAUUUUACUUAUUCCUUAUAGUUUUACACUGAAAACAAAGGAGGUGUAUUUUUGCAGUGCAUAGGUAUUGGUUUAGGUGAUAAAGGUUUUAAUGGAACAAUGCGUUUUCAAAAACUACUUAAGUAACAUUUUUGAAAACUUCCAGGAUUAAUGUCUGGAUUUUAUGAGCACAUUUAAAUUGCAGUAGUUUAACAAAUUAUAUUUACACAGUAAAUACAAACUUGUUAAUAAUCUCUUAACUAUCCAGGAAUACAAAAAAAUAAUACAAACUUGUUAAUAAUCUCUUAACUAUCCAGGAGAACAAAAAAAUAAACUGUUUUAAGACUAGGACUGGGCAAUAUGGCCUCAAGUAUGUAUCACGGUAAAUUGAGCAGAUUUACCUCGAUAACGAUAAAUGACGAUAAAUUCGCCCAAGCGGACUGUUAUAUAAGUUGAAAAUUUGACUCAAUGCAUGGAAUACAAAUUAACCGUUUCUCGUUAAAUUUAUUUACCAGCUUUCAAUUUAACAAUUGCACAUGCAGUCUAAACAUUAAGUAUAAAAAAAAAAAAUCUUGUAAAAAAUAAUAAUUCUAGUGUGAACAUUUAUAACAGCUUGUAUGACUUGAAAAAUGUACAACAUAAAAAUUAAUAUGACGACUGUGCAAACAUGUCAUUGUAACACAAAUGACUUGCAGCUUAAAGCUACAUUCACACCGGCCGCGUCAUUUGCUUGCGGCGCGUCGGGUUUCCAUUGAAAGUCAAUGUAAACGCGCCACAAGGCGCGUCAAGCUGCCUUGCGUCACGCGUCGGGGCGUCGCGAUGACGCCAAAUCGACUGACGCGCGUCAAAUUUAACGCGCCGCAAGGAGAUGGUUUGGUUGAACUUUUCUGCGGCAGAGUUCGGCGUCGAGGGGGAAGCAGCCAAUCGAAUACGUUUUCUAAUUCACGUGACUUUAGCUGCCCCGGAGCCGGAAACAUGCCGCCACAUCCGGUGAACACUAGUCAAAACAUUUCGAACUACUCAGAAAAUGGAAGGCGCUUUGAUAAUUGCUGUGAGUGACCAUAAAGUCCUUUUCAACACGACAUUGCCAACAUAGAAAGACCGGAACAAGAAGGACGCUGCCUGGAGGGAAAUAAGCGAUGUGCUCAAUGUUUCUGCCAAGACGAACAUCAGAGUUUGAUGGGGGAUUCCACUCCUUGCAUAGAGCCUAUCCGUCCUUCGACUACACCCUCAAUGGACUGGCCUCCUGGAACACCUACCUUGGGAAGCACGCUGACAGACUGCACACCAGCCAUGGUUGACAUCGCAGAAACGCCAGCCGUUCUGUGCUACUCCCCUUCCACAGUUAGCUGAGGACCCCUCCUCUCUCACCCCGGCAGUCACACCAAAAAGGUAAAAAGCGAAAGGCGGGAGACUCCGUGGGAGUCCGUGGGAGAAUGAGAUUAUCCAAGCCAUCAAAUUCCACGGAAACGAUGCACCAACCCACAAAAUAAACCACUGUCUUCUGGCAUUUCAAGAGCUUAUCGACACACUUCCAAAGAUGAAGCAGCAGGAGCUUCGAUUAAAGUUGCAUCAGUUUGCGUUUGAGUUUGUGAAGGCACACGGGAGCUGCGUGAAUUUUUUCUUCUACAACUAUUGUACUGUGUGUAUUUUGCAGUGGGGAAUUAUAGUUUUAAUUUGUACCGAAUUGAUCUCUUGCAGUCUGGUCUAUUAUGUACGGUGUAUCAAAGGAGUCAAAUUACAAUCAGACUUAAAUGAUUUGCAGUGUAGUUGAAAAAAGGGCUUACAUAGGUUUUUGCAUUCUUCUAUGUAUAUAGGUUUGUUAAAAAAAAAAACUUCUUUUCAAAAUUGUAUUAAUUCCUACUUCAUUUGUUACCUAGUUAGGUACUGUACAGCUACACUCAUAGUUAGUUACAACUUGGGUUUUCAUUUAUUAUACCAUAAAUUCUAUUUCCGUUUAUAUGAGCAUUAAAACAUCAGGCAUCAACUAAAAAAUAGUAGUUAUUUUCUUUUAAAUUUUUUACUGUGUGAUUUUUUUUUUCUUUAUUCUACAACUAUUUUACUGUGUGUAUUUUGCAGUGGGGAGUUAUAGUUUAAUUAGUACCGAAUUGAUCUCUUGCAGUCUGCUCUAUUAUGUAUGGCGUAUCAAAGGAGUCUAAUUACAAUCAGACUAAUAUGAUUUGCAGUGGAGUUGAAAAAAUGGCUUACAUAGGUUUUUGCAUUCCUCUAUGUACAUAGGCUUGUUAAAAUUCUUUUCAAAAUUGUAUUCAUUCCUACUUCAUUUGUUUCAUAGUUAGUUACAAUUUGGGUUUUCAUUUAUUAUACCAUAAAUUCUAUUUCCAAUUAUAUGCGCAU